rnacentral:lncRNA from 1 species
ACCAAAGUGAUAGAAUCUUUGACAGAAUCAUAAUGUUUUAUGGGGAAGAGGAGAGAGAAGUUUGGCAGAAUCUUUGUACUUUACAGCUGCUAUUUCCUAUUGUUGCUAUUGUUUUUGAAUUUUUUGGAGGGAUUUAGAAAUUUGAAUCUGUUCAUGCUUGCAAUUUGGCAGAGUAGACAUAUUCACUAAAAUGGGUCUUUUUGCGAAGUUGAG